CCGCAAGCGGGGCGAAGGGAACGAGCGGCAGGCUCCCAUCCCUCCUCGGCCGUUGACAAUGGCGCAAGGAACGUAGGGAGGGGACGAAGUUGGCGCCGCGAGUCCCUUCGCCCCG
rnacentral:sRNA from 1 species